UACAGAGGUCCCGAGCGUUUGUUCGGAUUCACUGGGCGUAAAGGGUGCGUAGGUGGCCUGAAAAGUUUGAUGUGAAAGCUCAGGGCUUAACCCUGAAAUGGCAUUGAAUACUGUUGGGCUGGAGGUUUGGAGGGGGGACUGGAAUUCUUGGUGUAGCAGUGAAAUGCGUAGAUAUCAAGAGGAACACCAGUGGCGAAGGCGAGUCCCUGGACAACACCUGACACUGAGGCACGAAAGCUAGGGGGAGCAAACAGG
rnacentral:rRNA from 1 species